AACGAACGCUGGCGGCGUGGAUUAGGCAUGCAAGUCGCACGUGAAAGAGGAGCUUGCUCCUUGAGUAAAGUGGCGAACGGGUGAGUAACGCGUGAGAAACCUGCCUUGAAGAGGGGAAUAACACUCCCAACGGGGUGCUAAUACCGCAUGUAUUCGGUGAGUCGCAUGGCUCGCCGAGAAAAGGUGGCCUCUGUUUACAAGCUACCGCUUCAAGAGGGUCUCGCGUCCGGUUAGCUAGUUGGCGGGGUAAAGGCCCACCAAGGCGACGAUCGGUAGCUGGUCUGAGAGGAUGAACGGCCACAUUGGGACUGAGAUACGGCCCAG
rnacentral:rRNA from 1 species